GAUGAACGCUGGCGGCGUGCCUAAUACAUGCAAGUCGAGCGAAUGGAUUAAGAGCUUGCUCUUAUGAAGUUAGCGGCGGACGGGUGAGUAACACGUGGGUAACCUGCCCAUAAGACUGGGAUAACUCCGGGAAACCGGGGCUAAUACCGGAUAACAUUUUGAACCGCAUGGUUCGAAAUUGAAAGGCGGCUUCGGCUGUCACUUAUGGAUGGACACGCGUCGCAUUAGCUAGUUGGUGAGGUAACGGCUCACCAAGGCAACGAUGCGUAGCCGACCUGAGAGGGUGAUCGGCCACACUGGGACUGAGACACGGCCCAGACUCCUACGGGAGGCAGCAGUAAGGAAUCUUCCGCAAUGGACGAAAGUCUGACGGAGCAACGCCGCGUGAGUGUUGAAGGGUUUCGGCUCGUAAAACUCUGUUGUUAAGGAAGAACGCCAGGUAGAGUAACUGCUACCUGUGUGACGGUACUUAACCAGAAAGCCACGGCUAACUACGUGCCAGCAGCCGCGGUAA
rnacentral:rRNA from 1 species